GCUCUAAUGAUUUAACUGUUGCUUCGUUGUAAUAUUUCAUUAAUACAUGUCAAAUAUCAAUAGGACAGAUGUAAUAGGAAUUUGUUUCAUCUACUUUUAAUAUCAAAUAGCUAUGGAUGCAGUAAACUAAUAACAUUAUAAGGAACAGUAGAUUUCAGAAAGCAGCAUCAAUAGUGUGUUGGGACUAUAAGGAUUCCUCUCGACAGACUCUGCUCACACAGGCCAAUAGGUCCAUAUGAAUUAUUCUCACUGCAGAGAAUUUUAAAUUUAGAGAUUUUUAAUCCAUUUGACUUUUCUGGACCCAAUUAAUGCAAUAUGAAGCAGGAUAUAAGUUCAUCACAUGAAUUCCACCAUUUAUAACACUCAGUGUUCUUAUUCCAGGUAUGCGGAACAGACAAAACCAGAUCAAACGUCAGGAUCAAAGGUUCUGCGGUCUGUGCCUGCAGCCCAGAAAGCCACUGUAUGCUGGGCCUCAUCAAAAUCAGUGUAGCCAGCAGGUCAAGCGAGGUGAUUCUCGCUCUCUACUCCACUCUCAUGAGACCUCACUUGGAGUACUGCGUCCACCUCUGGUACCCCCAACACAAGAAAGAAUGUGCUCAAGCAAGACCAGAGGAGGGCCACAAAUAUGAUCAAAGAGCUGGAGCACCCCUCCUAUGAAGACAGGCAGAGAGAGCUGGUUUUGUUCAGCCUGGAGAAGACUCUGGGGAGACCUUAUUUCAGUAUUUCAAUAUCUUAACGGGUCCUGCAGGACAGCCGGAAAGGAACUUUUUACCCUUAGAGCAUGCAGUGACAGAACAAGAGGUAAUGGCUUCAAGGUAACAGAGAAUAGAUUUAGAUUAGGUAUUAGGAAGAAAUUCUUCACUGUGAGAGUGGUGAGGCAUUGGCACAGGUUGCUGAGAGAAGUUGUGCCUGCCCUGUACCUGGAAGUGUUCAAGGUCAGGCUGGACAGGGCUUUGAGCAACCCAACCUGGUCUAGUGGAAGGUGUAGCUUUCUAUGGCGGGGGGUUGGAACUAAAUGAUCUUUAUGAUCACUUCCAAUCCAAACCAUUCUAUGAUUCCAUGAUUCUGUGACAAUAAGGAAUAAAACAAUUAUUGUUCACAGAAGCUGAAAGCUAAGAUGGUUUGCUAGCCAAAUACGAUAGCUUUAAAACCCAAUGUUAGGACUCAGAAUUUGUGGGAUAUGUACCUGACAGUAGCACCUCAUUUUCAUUAUAAACUGCUGCAGAAGUUUUUGGUAAGGUCCAAAAGGCACCCCAGAUUGUAAGCAGCUGUCAUAUUGUCACACUGUCAGUCAUUUAACACAGUUGGUCUAGUCACUGUUUCUCAGCUAAUUACAAGUACUGGUGAAAUAAAUAUGUAGUUAUGUCAGAAGAUUCUCUUGUAUGCCAUCUAUUUGAAUACUAAGCUGGCCCAUUUCCUGAAAUGUGUGAUGUUUUAUGUCUCCUAGCCUUCUUCUCUGUAUAUUUAGGCUUUACUUGUCUAAUUCUUGGAGGUUAGAAAUAUGCUGGUAGGUGUCUAGUCUCCCUCAGAUCCCGUCUCAAUGAACUCUUGUACCAAUGAGUUCCACCAGCUAACCAUGACUGGUAUGAAGAAACAUUUCCUUACAUCACUUUUAUAUCUGCUCCCAGGAAAUCUCUCUGGUUUUCCUCCUUUCUUUCAGCCAGUUGAUCUUUCUACUGAACAAGGUGAUCCACCCAACUCUAGCAGCUGCAGCUUGCUGUGAUUCACGCGAUGAGGAAUGUGGUGGUACAUGCAAUGUUGUGCUGAGGCAGAUGCAGACCCAUGGUUUUGGAGGGCUGGUCUACAAGACACACGAUGUCUUUCUUUGCAGGCAAAUGCUGCAGUAACUUGUAGAACCAGUUUACACUUUGAAGGUGGAUGAGUUAAGUGCCAUUGAGGUGUUUUUUAAGUGCCACAGCUAUUUUUAAAUUCUCUGUAUUCCUUUGAUGAACUUUGCCUAAAGGAUAAUGGCUGUAAACAGCCCUACAUAGUAAAGGUGUUCAUUAACAGAUUGUCAGGGAUUGUCUUUGCAAAGAAAAUAAGUGUGAGAGCUGCAUGGCUUGAGAAAACAGGCUGCUUUUUCUCUUUUCUCUUUUUUAUUUUUUUUUCUUAUUUCUUAUUUCUUUUCUCUUUUAUUUUCUUUUCUUAUUUCGUAUUUCUUUCCUCUUUU
rnacentral:lncRNA from 1 species